GACGAACGCUGGCGGCGUGCCUAAUACAUGCAAGUCGAACGCAGUGGGUACGGUUGAGUAACAUUUGGGUAAUCUCCCAUCAGAGGGGAUAACACUUGGAAACAGGUGCUAAACCGCUUGUGAUGGAUGGACCCGCGGUGCAUUAGCUGGUUGGUGAGUUAACUGCUCACCAAGGCCACGAUGCAUAGCCGGCAUGGUAGGGUGAUCGGCCACCCUGGGACUGAGACACGGCCCAGACUCCUACGUGAGGCAGCAGUAGGGAAUCUUCGGCAAUGGACGAAAGUCUGACCGAGCUACGCCGCGUGAGUGAAGAAGGUUUUCGGAUCGUAAAACUCUGUUGUUAGAGAAGCGGUAUCGAACCAGAAAGCCACGGGAAAAUACGUGCCAGCAGCCGCGGUAAUAC
rnacentral:rRNA from 1 species